GAGGUCCUGAAUUGAGAUCAGUGAUUUGCUGUAACUGUUUGUUUCACACAGGAGCCAAGAACAGUGUCUUUCUGUGAUUUGUUGGCCAUUCAGUACCCAGUGGGAAUUGCCAGUUGGAAGAAACAUAG